AUUGAACGCUGGCGGCAGGCCUAACACAUGCCAGUCGAGCGGAUGAAGGGAGCUUGCUCCUGGAUUCAGCGGCGGACGGGUGAGUAAUGCCUAGGAAUCUGCCUGGUAGUGGGGGAUAACGUCCGGAAACGGGCGCUAAUACCGCAUACGUCCUGAGGGAGAAAGUGGGGGAUCUUCGGACCUCACGCUAUCAGAUGAGCCUAGGUCGGAUUAGCUAGUUGGUGGGGUAAAGGCCUACCAAGGCGACGAUCCGUAACUGGUCUGAGAGGAUGAUCAGUCACACUGGAACUGAGACACGGUCCAGACUCCUACGGGAGGCCGCAGUGGGAAAUAUUGGACAAUGGGCGAAAGCCUGAUCCAGCCAUGCCGCGUGUGUGAAGAAGGUCUUCGGAUUGUAAAGCACUUUAAGUUGGGAGGAAGGGCAGUAAGUUAAUACCUUGCUGUUUUGACGUUACCAACAGAAUAAGCACCGGCUAACUUCGU
rnacentral:rRNA from 1 species